UUCACUUAUGCCAAUUUCUUUCUCUUUAGUCAGGCUUACAGGAUCACAACUUGAUGCAAUUUGAGCACUUGGUUCUUGCAGAGCACCCUUACCAGCUUCUUUUCCAGCAUUUUCAGGUAGAGCCUGUGUCCACAGAGUGCUCCACACUGUUUGGCUGCAGAACACGUUCUAGGAUCAAGGCAUCGUCUCUGUCAGAGACUGUUUGUCUCUGUCACUGGCACUUACCUGAAAGAACGAUCAAUAAUAGUUAACACAUCCCCGUGCUUCAGAGGUACGGGUUGCUGAAAACAGCUUCCAUUCAGCUGCGUGGGAUUUACUGUGCUUAAAUUUGUCAAUAUUGCCUAGAAAUAAAACAAAAAUUUCAGUGGCCUGACGACGUGCAACAAUGCAAUACAAAUGGCAUUCAAAUAUUAACAUCU